UACGUAGGGGGCUAGCGUUGCUCGGAAUUACUGGGCGUAAAGGGCGCGUAGGCGGCACUGUUAGUCGGGCGUGAAAGUCCUGGGCUCAACCUGGGAACUGCGCUUGAUACGGCAGAGCUAGAGGAUGGAAGAGGCUCGCGGAAUUCCCAGUGUAGAGGUGAAAUUCGUAGAUAUUGGGAAGAACACCGGUGGCGAAGGCGGCGAGCUGGUCCAUUACUGACGCUGAGGCGCGACAGCGUGGGGAGCAAACAGG
rnacentral:rRNA from 1 species